AUGGUAGUUGUCCCGGCGGCCGCGAAACUGGCGGAGGUUUCGAGCGCGCCUGCGCCUAUCGCACGUUCUACCAUCUUGACCCAAUCGGGGUGCUGGUACUAGCUGUAAGAUGGGUCUAGGGGUUUCUAAGCUGUACUGGAACUCUGUAGACCAGGCUGGCCAUAAACUCAGAGAUCUGCCUGCUUCUGUCCCAUGAGUGCUGGGAUUAAAGGCAGGUGCCACCACCACCGUGCUAGUAUUUAACCUUUCAACUUAUUUUAAAAUUAAAUUUUCUGCAGUGCUUGAUGGCAAAUAGAGCUAGCUAGACAAGCAUUCUACCACUGAAUUACAGUGCAGUUUGUUUAUCGAAACAUUGUUUGUAAUAGGGGUGAAUGGUGAGUAGAAAUUAGGGAUCUUAGAUCCAAAGGCCCUCAAGAGCCAGGGAAAUCUGAUUCAAGAAGAGACAGCCAAGUAUGAUGUAACUGGGUUUGUGGGGGCCUAAUAGAACCAAAGGCUGACAACUACUGUGCCAGACUUUAUCCAAAUGCUCCCCCAAAGGGUGGCUACUUUAUGUAAGAAUCUCUGGAAAAUACUGUCAACUGCUAGGUAUGAUGGUGCAUCCCAGGUCUUAGGAGAAGGAAGCAAGGGGAAAAAGUUCAAGGACAAGUGAAUUCAAUGCUAGACUGGCUACUGUCUUAAAAGAACCGGAAAAAUAGGGCUGGAGAGAUGGCUCACUGUGUGCUCUUCCAAAGGUCCUGAGUUCAAAUCCCAGCAACCACAUGGUGGCUCACAACCAUCUAUAAUAAGAUCUGGUGCCCUCUUCUUGUAUUCUUAAUCAUAAUAAAUAAAUAAAUCUUAAAAAAAAAAAAAGAACCGGAAAAAUAGACCAGGUGUGGCGGUGCACGCCUUUGAUCUUAGCAGUUGUGAGGUAGAGGCAGGCAGAUAGAUGCCUGUGAGUUUGAGACCCACCAGAGCUAUACACUAAGACUGUCUCAAAACAGCAAAACUGCUGGGCGAUGGUGCAAUCCCAGGUCUCUGGAGGCAGAGGCAGGCGAGUUGGGGGCCAGCCUGGUCUACAAAGCAAGUUCCAGGAUAACCAUGACUCCACAGAGAAACUGUCUCAAAAACAACAACAACAAAAACAACAAAAAACAAAAAAACAAUAACAACAAACCAAAAAAAAAAAAGAUAAUAAAAAGCUCAAAAUAAAAUAAACAAAACAGAAAAAUUGCCAAUGAUUGAAUCUUGGAAAAAAGUGCCACACAAUCCCAACAAAAACUUGCAAAUUUAGCCAGGCGUAGUGGCACACACCUUUAGUCCCAGCACUCAUAAGGCAGAGGUAGGCAGUUCUCUGUGAGUUCAAGGGCAGCCUAGUUCACAGAAGAAGUCCUAGGACAGCCAGGGUUGUGUGCUGCCACAGAGAAACCCUGUCUCUAAAAGCAAACAAGACAAAGCAGAUUAAAACAGCGACAACAAAAACGUGCGUGCUGGCCUCGUGGACUGUCAGUUUAUGCCCAGAUCACCGGGCUCCCUGUCCUCCUGAAAGUAAAGGCUGGUAGGACAGACAGAAUAAACAAACUAAUAGCACUGGGUUGAGAGAGAUGCUGGGGAAAGAAAUGGUCUGGUGUGGCAGAGGCCCAGGCUCCUCCUCCAGAUGGGCUAGUUAGAUAAGGCCGUCUCACUGGUGGUUAGAUAAAUCAGGAGAGGGGGCGGCAUCAUGGUUUACAACAUGCUGUGGAGCAGAGAACAGGAACUCACCAAACAGGACACUCCCCAGGGAGGAAAAGUUGGACCGUGAAAGGAUUUUAUUUUGGAGGUUCUGGGGGUCGAGCCCAAGGUCUUGCUCAUGCUAGGCAAGUGUUCUAGUCCUGAGAGGUUUUGUUUUUAAGAUGUUCUUAUUUUCAGGGCUGGAGAGAUGAUUUGAUGGUUAAGAGCACUUGGCUGCGCUUUGAGAGAACUUGAGUUCGAAUCCUGUGCCUCACAUGGUAGCUCCCAGUGGUCUGAACCCAGGAGGCCUGACAUUCUUCUAGCCUGCAGUGUAUGCAUGUGGCGUGCAGACAUACACACAGGAAAAAUCACCUAUACACAUGAAAAUAAAAGUAAAACAUGAA